rnacentral:pre_miRNA from 2 species
GGAGUAUCUGUUUACAUCUUACCGGGCAGCAUUAGAUUACAUUUGAAUUUUCUAAUACUGUCAGGUAAAGAUGUCGUCAGGAUUCC